rnacentral:rRNA from 1 species
GAGUUUGAUCAUGGCUCAGAUUGAACGCUGGCGGCAUGCUUUACACAUGCAAGUCGAACGGCAGCACGAGUGCUUGCACUUGGUGGCGAGUGGCGAACGGGUGAGUAAUGCAUUGGAACGUGCCUUGUAUUGGGGGAUAACUGAGCGAAAGCUUAGCUAAUACCGCAUACGCCCUGAGGGGGAAAGCUGGGGAUCGUUUGACCUGGCGAUAUAAGAGCGGCCAAUGUCUGAUUAGCUAGUUGGUGAGGUAAAGGCUUACCAAGGCGACGAUCAGUAGCGGGUCUGAGAGGAUGAUCCGCCACACUGGGACUGAGAGACGGCCCAGACUCCUACGGGAGGCAGCAGUGGGGAAUUUUGGACAAUGGGGGGAACCCUGAUCCAGCCAUGCCGCGUGUCUGAAGAAGGCCUUCGGGUUGUAAAGGACUUUUGUUGGGGAGCAAAGGUAUCUGGUUAAGAGCUGGAGAUUAUGAGAGNCCCAA